GAGGAGAAAACGCAAGUUUCUAGUAACUCCAGAGCUGCGCUCGUUUGCGCGUCAAGCAGCGCCGGGGAUGACAAGGUGCGUGCAGCUGUGCGUGCAGGUGCGCGGCCUCCACCUGCUCAACGGCGAAGAGCAGACAAAGCGGGCGGGUUUUACUGGUCUCCGGCGGGCCGGUCAGCCUUUGAUCUGGGCCCGUUAAGAAGAAGUGAAUCGAGGGAAGAGGGGGGUCCACCCAGGAAAGCAGCUGUGAGGGAAGAGGGACCGUUAAGCUCCUUAGUAAUGGUCCGCAUGUGCCAGCUGACGGACGUCAGGAGAGACGGGCCUCGGACAACAAGAGAACGAUGGUUCCAACAGGGCUGGCUGGGUGACUCAGGUGCCCGUGGUUACAAUCCAUUGGUUCGCCUAAAAUGCAUCAUUCACGCCCUGCAGCCAAUCCCAGGCUGCCAUGUGGGGCUGGCACCUUAUUGGAGGAUGGCUAUUUAGCAAAGUGCUCUCAGGCGAAUGAUGGACAGGAUCCUGGAGACUGAAGUGAAAUGUGGUCCCUAUGAGCAGGGGAAUAGUUUUUCUAUUUCUUGAACAUUUUCAAUGCAAACUCACAGCUCAGACCACAUAAAAUAGGAUGUCUAUAAAAUAUUUAACUAGAAUAUUA